UCAUCUCCUUUAAUUGUCACAACAGAGCUAUGUGGCCUGAAAAAUUGUACUGCUACUUUACAGAUUACGAAACUGAGGGCCAAAGAGCCAAGUUACUAGUCAAGAAUGAUGUAAAUCAUAAAUGGUAGAGACAGGAUUCAGGCCCAGGUCUCUGACUCUAGAACCCAUGUGGUUGCUACUGUGAUGCAGAGUACAUAAGUAUCCAGAGCCAAGAGAUGCUGGGAGAGCUCUGGAUGCCAGUUGUCCAGCUCUUCCUGGGUGCCAGGUAGCAGAGCUGCCAUUCAGCAUUGGUGGGUGCCCCUUGAGAGGAAUACCCCCAACAGAAGCUGCAGCCUAUCUUUUCCAUGUUGUUUUAGUUGGUGAAGGCCACCCAAGAGAUGGGAUACAGCAGGUUGACAUUCAUUUGAUUUUUCUGAACCUCAUUUCCAAUGAACCAUUCUUCGUCUUCCCUUCCCACCAAAGGGUUCUGAAAGAAAUGAGCCAGCAUAGAUCAGCUCUUAGGAGUCAGCCACCUUACCUGGCUCAGUGACAGGCAGGGAGCCCAGAUGCACUGCUGGGGGAUGGCUCUGGAUCACAGCACCACCUUUGAUGGGCUUCCAGACCAGGGCACUAUUUCAAAUGUCAUUAAGAAACUUCAGCAAAUGUCCUGUAUGGAAGACACUCAUCUUGGCCACUUUGUAGAUAAGGCCACUAAGGGGACAAAGGUGUGGGAGGAAACAUUGUGGAGAGCAUUGAUUUCUACAUUUGCUUUGGAAAGUGAGUGGGGAAAGAGUGCAAUUUAAUUUAAUUUCUGUUAUUUUUAUAGGAAGACAAGUCUAACUGCUUUCAUGAGAAUUAAGCUAUUCAUUCUAUCAUGCAGAAAAGAUCUUGAGUCAUCCAUGUAUUAAUCUGGUCCACCAAGGACCAGACACCAAGAGAGAGUAAAGGUGUGUGACCUGGAGAUUGGCAGCUGCCAUCUGCCUCUACAUGGACUGAAUCAUGAGCUGCUGUAGCUGCCGACCCUCAACACCACUGAAAGGAGUGGAGAUCAGGAGUGAGGUGUGCUGUGCUCUGGGAAAACUGGCAGAACAGGCCUUCAGAUGGUUAGAUAUUAUCAUAAGUUUUUUCAAGCCCAAUCCUUUCAUCUCCUUAUGUCUAGAAAAAUCACAAAAGUCCUUCAUGGUGGCUUCUGCUCUUCAUGACUAGCAGUGACAUUCAUGAGACUAGCAGCAACCUUCUGCAAAACAUGGGCUUGGUUGUGUGUACCUCCCCCUUUGCCAAAAUCGCAUUUAUACUGACCUUCCCCUCUGCCUCUUUGGAGAAGUUUCACAAGAGCUAGCAAAUGCUGCCUCCAAGGCUCUAAUCCUCAUUUUGCCCAGAAUAAAACUUAAUUCACAACUCUCAUGUUGGGCAUUUUUUAAAAUUUGAUAGAUGUUAGGGUUGUAUUAUGAAAAAUGCCUGUGUGAGAGUAAACAGGGACAAGGCUGGGGGAAAUGUUAGGCUGUUGUUCAAGUCCCAGGCUGGGUAUAGGAUCAAGGGCUGGGUGGGUGCCCUGGAAACCAUGCCAUUGGCAAGACAGUUAUGGAGCCCUGGAGCCAAAAUCACUUAUCAGAGGAGUCCUGUGUCUCCCAGGAGCAGGUCUGCUCAGGCAUCCCACCCACUCUGUUGUUGGCUAAAAGCAGCCUGCAGAAAGCAUGACCUUGGUGUCCUGGUACAAGGCACUUGGGUGCAGGGAUGGAGGAUAACAGUCUGUGCCCUGCCCUGGGGCCACCCUGCAGUGCUGCCUGGCUACAGUGGGACUAUGGAUGUCAGAGUGAGGCCCAUUCUUGAAUCACCACAGCUCAUCCACACAGAGCUCUUACAUCUCAGGAAUUUGCCUUUUAGGCAGAGAAGAGGCUUUGAAUCUCCGGGCAAGUUGCUUGCCACCUCUGAGCUCCACUGACUUCUCUCUCUGGUGGGACAAUGGAUGCCAGUCCCCAUGCCUUACCACAGUGUUUCUGGGGAUCAAGCCAAAUAAGACUGUGGCUGAAAAUGCAUUUUAUAGAUGAAAGGAUACACUGAAAGUACAGUUUUCAGCUCACUCCAAUCUGAGGGAAAAGAGAGGGGACAAGGGGUACCUGCAAGGGCGAAGAAAGGGCAGCAUCAUCCUGCCUCGAGACCUACAGUGCUGAGUCUGAGGGCUUCUCUGGUUACCAUGGGCUGAGUGACUCUGGGCAGAGCCUUGUCCUGCCUCUCUUUGGCCACAGGUCCCCCUUGAGGGGUCUCACUUCCAUCCUGCUGAAAUGUUGAAAUGUCUGGGAAGGAGUCAUGGCACCUGAAUGGAAAUGAGUCCAUGCAGAGCGUUUUGUCAUAUACCAAGCCCUCUUAGGACAGAAACUGCCUUCCCACAAUCAGUGGCUACUGCAAAGCCCAAGAGAAUGGCAGCUGCAAUGCCACAUGGAAAAUGAAGAUGCAGAACGUGGUCAGCUGGGGUUCUGGGAUGUGGCUUGUGGCCUCAUCAUCCAUCUUGGUCAGAUGUUAUUAUUUUGGUGAGGAAUUUGACUCUUCUCCCCUUGAUGUCAUGUUUCCCUAUGUGUGUAACCUACUUUGUUCACACUCUGUCUCCUGCUGUGCCUCUUUUUAGUGCUAACAGGUAUUAUUUCCUCCCCCAGGGGUUGUGGAAUAUUCCAUGGGGCAACCUUAAACUUUGACCUUUCAGGACACAUUAGUAUGCCUUUCUGGGCAAGAGAUGCCACACCAAAGAUGUACACCAAAGGAGGCUUUGAAAACAGGGAGGAUGUUACACAA
rnacentral:lncRNA from 1 species